rnacentral:rRNA from 1 species
UACGAAGGGGGCUAGCGUUGUUCGGAAUUACUGGGCGUAAAGUGCGUGUAGGCGGGUCUUUAAGUCAGGGGUGAAAUGCCAAGGCUCAACCUUGGAACUGCCUUUGAUACUGGAGACCUUGAGUCCGGGAGAGGUGAGUGGAAUUGCGAGUGUAGAGGUGAAAUUCGUAGAUAUUCGCAAGAACACCAGUGGCGAAGGCGGCUCACUGGCCCGGAACUGACGCUGAGACGCGAAAGCGUGGGGAGCAAACAGG